ACUUGUAGUUGGCUUGCUAACAAUGUGUUUAUGAGGAUGAGAUAAAAACACCAGCUUAGACAUAAGUAUAGGUGCUCGUUAAGUAUACAACAAACAUUAUAGUGUGAAAAUGAGGGUAAAAGCAUAAGUAUAGGUGCUCGUUAAGUUUUUGAACAACAGCUUAGACA